rnacentral:rRNA from 1 species
ACAAGUACCGUGAGGGAAAGUUGCAAAGCACUUUGAAGAGAGAGUUAAAGAGGACGUGAAACCGAUGAGGUGGAAACGGACAGAGCUGGCGUAUCUGGCCUGUAUUCAGCCGUGCGUCCGUUGGCGUCAGGGAUGCCGCUCUCCAGAUUGGGACGGUGGCCUGUCUGCUGGCGGAUGUGUGGUGCAUUUGCAGGUGGAGUGCGCUGAGGCACUCGGGUCAGCGGCAUGAGCUCAGUGUUGAGGCCAGCCCCUCACGGGGUCUGGUACCCGCAUUGUGGGGAGUGCUGUUUGUCCUGGGUGUGCGUGGAGGGCAAUGGUUUCGGGUUCGUGUGGGUGCCGAGCUGGCAGUCGGUGGCGGUCGCGUGCGACACGUGCCAGCGGUCAGUUCGGUCCUGCUCGAGCUCUCAUCUGCUCGUCCUCGGUGUAAAAGCCGGUCAUCUGUCCGACCCGUCUUGAAACACGGACCAAGGAGUUUAGCGUGUGCGCGAGUCAUUGGGCGUUGAAAACCCAAAGGCGCAAUGAAAGUGAAGGUCUCCCUUGCGGAGCUGAUGUGUGAUCCUGGGCACUGCGGUGCACACCGGGCGCAACAUAGUCCCGUCCCGAUCGCUUGCGAUGGGGCGGAGACAGAGCGUACGCGCUGAGACCCGAAAGAUGGUGAACUAUUCCUGAGCAGGAUGAAGCCAGAGGAAACUCUGGUGGAAGUCCGAAGCGAUUCUGACGUGCAAAUCGAUCGUC